GGAUCAUUACCACACCUAAAAACUUUCCACGUGAACCGUUUCAACCCAAUAGUUGGGGGUCUUACUUGGCGGCGGCUGCUGGCUUUAUUGCUGGCGGCUACUGCUGGGCGAGCCCUAUCAAAAGGCGAGCGUUUGGACUUCGGUCUGAGCUAGUAGCUUUUUUAUUUUAAACCCUUUACUUAAUACUGAUUAUACUGUGGGGGCGAAAGUCUCUGCUUUU
rnacentral:misc_RNA from 1 species